AGGAGUGUAGCUCAGCCUGGAAUGAGCGAUAGUCUGAUAAACUAUAGGUUCGAGAGUUCAAAUCUCUCCACUCCUACCA
rnacentral:tRNA from 1 species